rnacentral:rRNA from 1 species
CAGUCGCCACGGUAAUACGUAGGGUGCGAGCGUUAAUCGGAAUUACUGGGCGUAAAGCGUGCGCAGGCGGUUGUGUAAGACAGAUGUGAAAUCCCCGGGCUCAACCUGGGAACUGCAUUUGUGACUGCAAGGCUAGAGUACGGUAGAGGGGGAUGGAAUUCCGCGUGUAGCAGUGAAAUGCGUAGAUAUGCGGAGGAACACCAAUGGCGAAGGCAAUCCCCUGGACCUGUACUGACGCUCAUGCACGAAAGCGUGGGGAGCAAACAGGAUUAGAGACCCCCGUAGUCCCUGUCUCUUAUAA